AUAUUGCGCAAUGGGGGCAACCCUGACGCAGCGACGCCGCGUGGAUGAUGAAGGCCCUUGGGUCGUAAAAUCCUGUCAGAUGGAAAGAAAUGUAUAGCAGCUAAUAUCUGUUAUAUUUGACGGUACCAUCAAAGGAAGCACCGGCUAACUCCGUGCCAGCAGCCGCGGUAAUACGGAGGGUGCGAGCGUUGUUCGGAAUUACUGGGCGUAAAGCGCGCGUAGGCGGUUUGCUUAGUCAGAUGUGAAAGCCCUCGGCUUAACCGGGGACGUGCAUUUGAAACUGGCAGACUUGAGUACUGGAGGGGGUGGUGGAAUUCCCGGUGUAGAGGUGAAAUUCGUAGAUAUCGGGAGGAAUACCGGUGGCGAAGGCGACCACCUGGCCAGAUACUGACGCUGAGGUGCGAAAGCGUGGGGAGCAAACAGG
rnacentral:rRNA from 1 species